rnacentral:snoRNA from 1 species
GCACCCCUUUACAAGUUGCUAAGUGAACUUAUUGUCUUCAUGGGCAGUCCAAUGGACAAAGGACAAACUCAGGAAAGCUUAGCUGUUUGUCUUAUAACCUGUCAGGGGACACAU